UACAGAGGGUGCAAGCGUUGUUCGGAAUCAUUGGGCGUAAAGCGCGUGUAGGUGGCUCUUUAAGUUUGGUGUGAAAGCCCAGGGCUUAACCCUGGAAGUGCACUGAAUACUGGAGGGCUAGAGGACGAGAGAGGAUAAUGGAAUUCAUGGUGUAGGGGUGAAAUCCGUAGAUAUCAUGAGGAACAUCUGUGGCGAAGGCGAUUAUCUGGCUCGUUUCUGACACUGAGACGCGAAAGCGUGGGGAGCAAACAGG
rnacentral:rRNA from 1 species